UACGGAGGGAGCUAGCGUUGUUCGGAAUUACUGGGCGUAAAGCGCACGUAGGCGGCUUUGUAAGUUAGAGGUGAAAGCCCGGAGCUCAACUCCGGAAUUGCCUUUAAGACUGCAUCGCUCGAAUCCAGGAGAGGUGAGUGGAAUUCCGAGUGUAGAGGUGAAAUUCGUAGAUAUUCGGAAGAACACCAGUGGCGAAGGCGGCUCACUGGACUGGUAUUGACGCUGAGGAGCGAAAGCCAGGGGAGCAACGGG
rnacentral:rRNA from 1 species